rnacentral:rRNA from 1 species
CGGGUGUCUGGGGCGGACGGCAAGUUUACUUUGAACAAAUUUGAGUGCUCAAAGCAGGCCUAUGCCUGACAAUUCUUGCAUGGAAUAAUGGAAUAGGACUUCGGUUCUAUUUUGUUGGUUUUCGGAUCCGAAGUAAUGGUUAAGAGGGACAGACGGGGGCAUUUGUAUGGCGGUGUUAGAGGUGAAAUUCUAUGAUCAUCGCCAGACAAACUAAAGCGAAAGCAUUUGCCAAGGAUGUUUUCAUUAAUCUGGAGCGAAAGUCAGAGGUUCAAAGACGAUCAGAUACCGUCGUAGUUCUGACCAUAAACGAUACCAACUGACGAUCCGUGGGUGCUCGUUUAUUGACCCCAUGGGCAGUCCCCGGGAAACCUUGAAGUCUUUGGGUUCCGGGGGAAGUAUGGUUGCAAAGCUGAAACUUAAAGGAAUUGACGGAAGGGCACCACCAGGAGUGGAGCGUGCGGUUCAAUUCGACUCAACACGGGAAAUCUCACCCGGCCCGGACACUGUGAGGAUUGACAGAUUGAGAGCUCUUUCUUGAUUCGGUGGUUGGUGGUGCAUGGCCGUUCUUAGUUGGUGGAGCGAUUUGUCUGGUUAAUUCCGAUAACGAACGAGACUUUGGCCUGCUAAAUAGUAUGCCUGUCCUCUGCUCUUGUGCGGGUGGCGGUAGUGGUAGCCUUUCGGGGUGAUACUGCCGUACGCCGGCGAGGGCUGCGCAGGUCUAUACUUCUUAAAGGGACAAGCGGUUUUUAGCCGCACGAAAUUGAACA